GGUAUAGGUUUUCGGACCUAGAGACCGGCGCACGGGUGCGUAACGCGUAUGCAAUCUACCUUUUACAGAGGGAUAGCCCAGAGAAAUUUGGAUUAAUACCUCAUAGUAUUACGACUCGGCAUCGAGAUGUAAUUAAAGUCACAACGGUAAAAGAUGAGCAUGCGUCCCAUUAGCUUGUUGGUAAGGUAACGGCUUACCAAGGCAACGAUGGGUAGGGGUCCUGAGAGGGAGAUCCCCCACACUGGUACUGAGACACGGACCAGACUCCUACGGGAGGCAGCAGUGAGGAAUAUUGGUCAAUGGGCGCAAGCCUGAACCAGCCAUGCCGCGUGCAGGAUGAAGCAUCUAUGGUGUGUAAACUGCUUUUGUACGAGAAGAAACACUCCUACGUGUAGGAGCUUGACGGUAUCGUAAGAAUAAGGACCGGCUAACUCCGUGCCAGCAGCCGCGGUAAUACGGAGGGUCCAAGCGUUAUCCGGAAUCAUUGGGUUUAAAGGGCCCGUAGGCGGUUUUGUAAGUCAGUGGUGAAAGCCCAUCGCUCAACGGUGGAACGGCCAUUGAUACUGCAAGACUUGAAUUAUUGGGAAGUAACUAGAAUAUGUAGUGUAGCGGUGAAAUGCUUAGAGAUUACAUGGAAUACCAAUUGCGAAGGCAGGUUACUACCAAUAUAUUGACGCUGAUGGACGAAAGCGUGGGGAGCGA
rnacentral:rRNA from 1 species